ACAGGUUUGUCAGUGUUCCUUGAAAGCUUGUUUGAGACACUUUCUAAACCUAUUGUGAUAAAGCAUAAAAGCGCCUUCGGACUUACUACAGAUUUGAAGAUCUUUGAAGGAUUACAACAGAAGUUUAUAUUUUGUGCACAGUUUUAGUCGACACACGAAGCAGUAAAGAUGUUCUGGCCAUCACCCGAAGAGAGCGUGAACGUCAACAGCGGCGCCAAAACGCACAACAUGUUCCAAGCAUCAAUGUUUGGAAUGAAACCAGUCAUCCCAGACCUGUCAGUUUCUGUUGAUGAUGCUCAAAAGGCCCAACUGGUCUGCGCAGUCGCAGCGGUCACCUCACACUUCGUCCAUCAGUUUCUCAAGGUGGCUGUAAAUUUAAACCAAUCGGGAGUCGCCUUACAGAAGCUUGCCUGCCAGCCAAUGGCAUCGGAGAUAGCUUUAUGGAAGCAUCAUGAAAGUGUUGGAUAAGACUUACCUCCUUGUUACGAGAUUAAUAUGAUAUUCGUCAAUAUCUCUGUUCAAAAACUGAAGACUGUGUUCAUCCUAAUAUACAUACAGAAGUCAGUAUAAUCAGUGACGACCAAGAUGGACAGGGACUGUCCGCUGUCCGCCAUCAUCUACUUCGUAAAGUCAUCUAUUUAUUCCGGGGAGUCUGGGAGAUGACCAAUGACAGCGUGAGAGACAGUUGUUGAUAGCAUCGACCCACGAAGUCUGUUCCCACUGCAAUGGGGAACUAUUCAUGUUCAUUUCACAUUUGUCAAUAUUUGUGGUGCUAUAGCUGAACUUUGAACUUUGAAUUCAUUUCAUGGCAUUACGACUGAGGAUGGCCCUUUCAGAUACCUUUGUUCAAAUGUGAUAAGAAUAUUCUAAAAUAACACCGGCUACUUAUUAAGUUUAAUUUCACACUGUUGACCAAAAAGUGUUGUCAGUUUCAGCAAAGUUUCUGUGAUAUUUGAUACGUUUUAUGUCGUGUACUGCUGUCGUAUGGAUAAACGAGGGUUCCCUGCAUGAACAUAAAGCCUAUUAUGGAGACUGGAUCUGGAAAAGAAUCAGUAUUAAAAAUAAAUUUCCCUUAAGAAUAAAUACCAUGCUAUUAAUUAAAAACAGAAUGAACUGAUAAGGUAAAUGACCCUCGUUCAUCCAUAUUCGUACAGUUUUGAACGGUUACCGCAAGGAUUCGAUACAUUUUCCUAGUCCGAAAACUCACUUAUCCGGACAGGCGGAAAAUCAUUAGUGCGGCGUUUGUCUAUAACUGUUUGAAAAAGAUCAGUGUGGAUAAGCUGUUCGGUUAAAAGAGCAAUAUCUUGGAUCAAAACGUUUGUUUCGUUUGAGAAACAUUUGACAUAUUGUCAAUAACAAAAAUACAAAGUGAAAAGUAAAUGUAUUCUGACUGGUGUUAAUUUCAUGAAAUCCACAGAUCUGAUAUUUACAUGUCUUUUUGUCUCAUUGAACAAAUCUUUGAUGUUUUGUCAGAGUUGUCUGUCAUAAUAGCCACAUGUGUCCAGUACAUAUUAUUUAAGACGGCAUUGUUCAUUUCAUUUGGUGUUUCGUCCGAUCAUGUGAAACGUUAUUUAUGUAUAUAAAAUAGCAUCCUCAUAAAGGUCACUCUAGAACGGUCAUUUUAUUUGUAGAACAUGUUUUCAAUAAACACAUAAAUGACA